rnacentral:rRNA from 1 species
AUUGAACGCUGGCGGCAUGCUUUACACAUGCAAGUCGAACGGCAGCGCGGGGCAACCUGGCGGCGAGUGGCGAACGGGUGAGUAAUAUAUCGGAACGUACCCAAGAGGGGGGGAUAACGUAGCGAAAGUUACGCUAAUACCGCAUCCGAUCUCAGGAUGAAAGCAGGGGACCGCAAGGCCUUGUGCUCCUGGAGCGGCCGAUAUCUGAUUAGAUAGUUGGUGGGGUAAAGGCCAACCAAGGCAACGAUCAGUAGCUGGUCUGAGAGGACGACCAGCCACACUGGAACUGAGACACGGUCCAGACGCCUACGGGAGGCAGCAGUGGGGAAUUUUGGACAAUGGGGGCAACCCUGAUCCAGCAAUGCCGCGUGAGUGAAGAAGGCCUUCGGGUUGUAAAGCUCUUUUGUCAGGGAAGAAAAGGGAUUGGCUAAUAUCCAGUCCUCAUGACGGUACCUGAAGAAUAAGCACCGGCUAACUACGUGCCAGCAGCCGCAGUAAUAC